CACGUAGUUAGCCGGCGCUUCUUCCCCCACUACCAUCAACACAGCCAAAACUGUGCCUUUUUCGCGAGAAAAAGGAGUUCACAACCCGAAGGCCUACACCCUCCACGCGGCGUCGCUGCAUCAAACUUUCGUCCAUUGUGCAAUAUUCCCCACUGCUGCCCCCCGUAGGAGUCUGGGCCGUAUCUCAGUCCCAGUGCGACCGACCACCCUCUCAGGCCGGCUACCCGUCAAAGCCUUGGUAAGCCAUCACCCCACCAACAAGCUGAUAGGCCGCGAGCCCACCCAAUCCCAGAAAAAACCUUUCCAAACCACACCAUGCGAUGCAGCCUGAAUAUCCAGUAUUAGCAGCCGUUUCCAGCCGUUAUCCCAAAGAAAAGGACAGGUUACUCACGUGUUACUCGCCCGUUCGCCACUAAUCCACGAGUGCAAGCACCCGCUUCAUCGUUCGACUUGCAUGUGUUAAGCACGCCGCCAGCGUGUCUCUAGCACGAGUCAACGUACU
rnacentral:rRNA from 1 species